rnacentral:rRNA from 1 species
CCAGACUCCUACGGGAGGCAGCAGUGAGGAAUAUUGGUCAAUGGACGUAAGUCUGAACCAGCCAAGUAGCGUGCGGGAUGAAGGCCCUUGUGGUCGUAAACCGCUUUUAUCAGUGAAUAAAGUGCAUCACGUGUGGUGUCAUUGCAGGUAGCUGAAGAAAAAGGACCGGCUAAUUCCGUGCCAGCAGCCGCGGUAAUACGGAAGGUCCGGGCGUUAUCCGGAAUUAUUGGGUUUAAAGGGAGCGCAGGCGGGAGUAUAAGUCAGCUGUUAAAUAUCAGGGCCCAACUCUGUUAUGCAGUUGAAACUAUAUUUCUUGAGUACGCACAGGGAUGGCGGAAUUCAGGGUGUAGCGGUGAAAUGCUUAGAUAUCCUGAAGAACUCCGAUCGCGAAGGCAGCCAUCCGGAGCGUAACUGACGCUGAGGCUCGAAGGUGCGGGUAUCGAACAGGAUUAGAUACCCUGGUAGUCCGCACGGUAAACGAUGAAUACUCGCAGUUCGGUCAUUAUGAUUGAGUUGUCCAGCGAAAGCGUUAAGUAUUCCACCUGGGGAGUACGCCGGCAACGGUGAAACUCAAAGGAAUUGACGGGGGCCCGCACAAG